GUGUCGCCCGAUCCGAGUUAUGCAGUGACUGGAAUUGCUCAUAACUCAGUCAGACCACACCA
rnacentral:pre_miRNA from 1 species